GCCGAUGUAGCUCAACGGUAGAGCACGGCUUUCGUAAAGCCGGGGUUGAGGGUUCGAUUCCCUCCAUCGGCU
rnacentral:tRNA from 1 species